rnacentral:rRNA from 1 species
AUUGAACGCUGGCGGCAUGCCUUACACAUGCAAGUCGAACGGUAACGGGUCCUUCGGAUGCCGACGAGUGGCGAACGGGUGAGUAAUAUAUCGGAACGUGCCCAGUAGUGGGGGAUAACUGCUCGAAAGAGCAGCUAAUACCGCAUACGACCUGAGGGUGAAAGGGGGGGAUCGCAAGACCUCUCGCUAUUGGAGCGGCCGAUAUCAGAUUAGCUAGUUGGUGGGGUAAAGGCCUACCAAGGCAACGAUCUGUAGUUGGUCUGAGAGGACGACCAGCCACACUGGGACUGAGACACGGCCCAGACUCCUACGGGAGGCAGCGGUGGGGAAUUUUGGACAAUGGGCGCAAGCCUGAUCCAGCAAUGCCGCGUGCAGGAAGAAGGCCUCGGUU